CCUACGGGUGGCAGCAGUGGGGAAUAUUGGACAAUGGGCGAAAGCCUGAUCCAGCCAUGCCGCGUGUGUGAAGAAGGCCUUCGGGUUGUAAAGCACUUUCAGUGGGGAAGAAAGCCUUGGGGCUAAUACCCUCGAGGAAGGACAUCACCCACAGAAGAAGCACCGGCAAACUCCGUGCCAGCAGCCGCGGUAAUACGGAGGGUGCGAGCGUUAAUCGGAAUUACUGGGCGUAAAGCGCGCGUAGGCGGUCUGAUAAGCCGGUUGUGAAAGCCCCGGGCUCAACCUGGGAACGGCAUCCGGAACUGUCAGGCUAGAGUGCAGGAGAGGAAGGUAGAAUUCCCGGUGUAGCGGUGAAAUGCGUAGAGAUCGGGAGGAAUACCAGUGGCGAAGGCGGCCUUCUGGACUGACACUGACGCUGAGGUGCGAAAGCGUGGGUAGCAAACAGGAUUAGAUACCCUGGUAGUC
rnacentral:rRNA from 1 species